rnacentral:rRNA from 1 species
GACGAACGCUGGCGGCGUGCUUAACACAUGCAAGUCGAGCGGUAAGGCCCUUUCGGGGUACGACGAGCGGCGAACGGGUGAGUAACACGUGGGUGACCUGCCCUCAGCUCUGGGAUAAGCCUGGGAAACUGGGUCUAAUACUGGAUAUGACUCCACGGUGCAUGUCGUGGGGUGGAAAGCCUUGUGCGGCUGAGGAUGGGCCCGCGGCCUAUCAGCUUG